UUCCCAAAAUUUCAAACCUCAUCCUUUCCCCAAAAAUUUCAAGCCCUAGCUGCUCAAUUGUUCCCAAAAAAAAAGAGAUGACAACAGAAAUUAAAAACACAAGAGAGGAGAGAGACUAAUUGAAAUUCAUCAAUUUCGCAUCAAUUCGCAAAUCGCAAACACCAAUUCGCAAUUCGCAGUUUUAGGGUUUAGAGGGUUUGUUCGCAAGUGAGGGUUUAGAGGGUCUGUAAUGCAUAGUUCAAGGGUUUAGAGGGUCCGUAACACCACCACAGAGAAGGAAGAGGACGACGAAGGAAGGAGAGGCCCAUCCCAUUCAAGCUGUAACCCGUAAAGCAGAUAAACUCUCACAAGGCCCACUAGUGAAUUUCCGCAUCCUCUGUCACGGGUUAAGCAACCAGUUGCAUAAAGAUUGUGUGACGCACUGAUUUGGCUUGGAAUACGAGACCUGAUUAAUGAAUUCACGAAGAAAACGUUGAAGUUGAGACCUGUAUCCUACAUGAAACCUUCAUAUGGUGCUCCCCCUGAUACCCCUUAUGGAUAUAUUUGGAGUCCUCACCUUGUUGCCAAACCUAAAGGAAUCGAGUAUAUUUCUUGCUAAGUGGACUGCAGAAGAUGCUUAGAAUUAGAAAAUAACACUUGGGUACUCAAGUGGCAUAUUUAUAUUUAUCCAAUAAUGACCUUGAUUGGUGCAACUCGAGGGCUUGAAAUUGAUGUAUUUUUGAAUCGGAGCAGACUAGGUAUGCAUUCUUUGGUUUCUCGAUCAAUGGAAUCUCUAAGUACUUGAGUGCUUAAAGAGUUAAAGCCUUCCUCUGGUUAGAAAUGUAGCGACAACUAGCUAUUAAUGUAAUAACUCAUAUUUUAAGCAGCUCUCAACCUUCUUUUAAGUAUAAUUAUUGUUUUUAAUCACACUCUUAAGCAACUCUCAAUCUUCUUUUAAGUAUAAUUAUUUUUUUGAAUCUCACUCUUAAAAUUGUUUUGAAACAAAUAUGAGUAUAGUAAUUUAAGAUUUUAUUAAUGAUUGGAUUAAGUUAGUAUUAUCUAUUAAUCAGCUUAAAGAUUAAUUAUCGACUUAUUACAACGAGUUGGAAUUUUAGACAUCUACUCGACUAAAGAAUAAAGAUUUUUAUAAUUCUAAAUUUUUAUUGUUUUAUUUGAACGUGAAUGUAAAUUGUGAUUCAUAUUUUAUCAAUUGAACCAGUGAAAUUAUUUUAUUUAUUAAAUUAAAUUACUAAUACAUUAUUCCAUAUAAAAGAGUUAUUUUAAAUAUUAAAUGAAUUAUUCAUAUUAUUUUGGAAUUCCUUCCCUUCCCUCCUUUCAUCCCUUCCCUCACUCGCACACAUUCACGCAGUCACACAUCACCUCUCCUCUCUCUCCCUUCACCACGAAUCCUCUCCUUCCUUCCUGCUCCUUGUGCCGCCAGUCGUUUCCCUCUCGCCGGCGACGCUGAUUCUGCUGCUGAGGAUGUUCGUUGUUGUUGUGUUGAUUCUGCUGCUGCUCCCCUCGUAUCUCCUUCCUCUCGUCCAAGCUUCGUGAUGCCGCCGCCCAUGGUGGCGGCUAAACCACCCUCAUCUAGACCUCAUCUUCAAUUGGUUGAUCGGUGUUGAUCGUUGUGUUCUUGUUCCUCUCCCCUGCUUCACUCCUCUACCUUUCCUCUCCUCCGCUAGACUCACGGAGCGCCACCUCCUCGUGGCUCUGCCAGAGCUGCUGGUGCUAUUCCGUUGAUGUUGUUGUGUUAUCUGUCUUAUGGUUGUUGUUGCUGCUUCUCUGCCUUCCUAUUUCUCUUAUGGGUCAUGCUUGUGCUUUCCACUUACUGCAGCAGAUUGUUCAAAGACUUCUUCCUCGAUGCUGAUACAACGCUUGCCACUUUAAGACUCACCAUGGUUGUUUUACCUUGUUUUUAACUAUUAAGAUAUGGCUUAUCUCAGGGUAUCUGACAUAUCUCAUUCUAAAUAGUUUGCCUAAAUAGUACUCUCUAUAUGACCUUCAUGAUAAGAGUUGUUGUUGUAUUGACACUAAUAAUGUUUGUUGUUGCUUCUGAUUUGUUGUUGGUUAUGCUGCUGAUUAUAUUUUGAGGCAGGGAUAUAUGGUUGUCGCUAAAUGUAUGGACUUUUAGAGGCAACACAUUGUGUUGCCUCAAAAAGGGGCCUUUAGAGGCAACCACUAAUUAGUGACGGACUUAUUAGAGGCAUCCACUUUUUUGCUUCAAAAACCCAUUAGAGGCUAAAUCCCCAUUUUUAGGGGCAAUUAUGACUUGCCCCUGUAUCCGAUUUUUCUAGUAGUGUAUCUACUCCUUAAUCAUUUAAAAUUAGAAAAGAAAAUGGUUUAUAGGUGUCUCUUACAAAUAUAUCUUGUUCAAUACUCUCCAUCCCUUUACUUUUUUAACGUUUGGGUUUGGUAUGGAAAUCAAGUGUAGUAAUGAAAGCAGUUUUUUUUUUUUGUAUUUUUGGAAAGUAGAUUUUUUUUUGGAAGCUGGUAGUGAGAAAAAGAAAUGGUAAAAGAAAGUAUUGGAUGCAGACAAAAAGGGAUGAUAUGGCGGAGAAAUAAAAGUAAGAUAGAGUCAUAGAAGUGAAGAAUUUUUUAGCCAACUCAGGUAAGUGGAGAAAAUCAAGGGACAAAGUAUUAUACGUUUUGUUUCUUAUUGAUAUGCUCUUCAUUUUAUCAUAUAUACUAAUCUAGUGGCGAGAUGAUCCUUCCCCUAGUUCUUGGUUGUGGGUUUCAGUUUUUCUUUUCCCCUACAACCAUAAACCUAAAACAAACUUCUUCUUCAGCUAGCAGAAUUUAAUUCUAAUGGCCUUUUCUCUAGUCUGUUUCUUUUAGUUGAAAACAUGAUGUUUCCAUUCUCAUGGGCACUUUUACUUCCAUAAGUAGACAAUUGUAUUUUUUGCUACCUGGUUGGUAAUUUCUGGCAAAAUCUGUACCUACAGGAGAAUGACGUACAUUAUACACUUGAAUUUUGACUUGGACAUUAAUCUAAGAAUGUGGGGGUCUGUAUCUUUUAGAUUGGGGACCCAAAAUUGACGUAGUUGGUUUCUGUUUCCUUGACCUGGCUUCAACUUAUGAACCUCCCAAAGAUCUCGUGGAAUGGCUUGGAAAGGGUCAAAAGCCAAUAUAUAUUGGAUUUGGCAGCCUGGUA